UACGUAGGGGGCAAGCGUUAUCCGGAUUUACUGGGUGUAAAGGGAGCGUAGACGGCAGGGCAAGUCUGGAGUGAAAGGCAGGGGCCCAACCCCUGGACUGCUCUGGAAACUGUCCGGCUGGAGUGCAGGAGAGGUAAGAGGAAUUCCUAGUGUAGCGGUGAAAUGCGUAGAUAUUAGGAGGAACACCAGUGGCGAAGGCGGCUUACUGGACUGUAACUGACGUUGAGGCUCGAAAGCGUGGGGAGCAAACAGG
rnacentral:rRNA from 1 species